UACGUAGGGUGCGAGCGUUAAUCGGAAUUACUGGGCGUAAAGUGUGCGCAGGCGGCGUCGCAAGUCGAGUGUGAAAGCCCCGGGCUUAACUUGGGAAUUGCGCUCGAAACUACGGUGCUGGAGUAUGGCAGAGGAAGGUGGAAUUCCACGUGUAGCGGUGAAAUGCGUAGAGAUCGGGAGGAACAUCAGUGGCGAAGGCGGCCAUCUGGGACAACACUGACGCUGAAGCACGAAAGCGUGGGGAGCAAACAGG
rnacentral:rRNA from 1 species